rnacentral:rRNA from 1 species
AUUGAACGCUGGCGGCGUGCUUAACACAUGCAAGUCGAACGGAGUGGCGAACGGGUGAGUAACACGUGGGUGACCUGCCCCGCACUUCGGGAUAAGCCUGGGAAACUGGGUCUAAUACCGGAUAGUGUGGGAUGGGCCCGCGGCCUAUCAGCUUGUUGGUGGGGUAAUGGCCUACCGAGCCGGCGGCGGGUAGCCGGCCUGGGAGGGGGGACGGCCACAUUGGGACUGAGACACGGCCCAGAGUGCUACGGGGGGCAUCAGUGGGGAAUAUUGCGCAAUGGGCGGCAGCCUGAGGCAGCGACGCCGCGUGGGGGAUGACGGCCUUCGGGUUGUAAACUCCUUUCACCAUCGACGCGGUAGAUGGAGAAGAAGCACCGGCUAACUACGUGCCAGCAGCCGCGGUAAUUC